CCUGGCUCAGGAUGAACGCUGACAGAAUGCUUAACACAUGCAAGUCGAUGGGGAAGUGGUGCUUGCACCAUGGUAACCAUGGCGGACGGGUGAGUAACGCGUAAGGAACUUGCCCGCGGGACCGGGAUAACAGUAGGAAACUGCUGACAAGACCGGAUAAGGUCAUUAAGCCGCAUAGCUUAGUGAUGAAAGGAGACGCCUGCGGAGAGUCUUGCGUCCUAUUAGCUAGUUGGAGGGGUAACGGCCCACCAAGGCGAAGAUAGGUAGCCGGCCUGAGAGGGUGGACGGCCACAAGGGGACUGAGAUACGGCCCAGACUCCUACGG
rnacentral:rRNA from 1 species